rnacentral:lncRNA from 1 species
UAUGUUUUUUUAAAAAAGAUAAGCCAUAUAUAUUAAAAAAGAAGAUUAAGAAUACAACUGGGAAAUAGGCUAUGAAAAGACUGGGAUGCAAUCUCAUUAGGCUAUAGCAUCCACAGGCCCAUUAGAAAAUAUUACAAAAUCCAAACUCAACCAUAUAGGUCUUAGUUAUUAAAACUUGUUUUUUUAUGGCCAGUCAAGGGUGAGAAAAGUUGAAGAAAACAGUGUUAUAUUAAUAA